rnacentral:rRNA from 1 species
AAUAGAUACCCCGGUAGUCCAUGCCGUAAAACGAUGUCUACUAGCCGUUGGGGCCUUUGAGGCUUUAGGUGGCGCAGCUAACGCGAUAAGUAGACCGCCUGGGGAGUACGGUCGCAAGACUAAAACUCAAAUGAAUUGACGGGGGCCCGCACAAGCGGUGGAGCAUGUGGUUUAAUUCGAUGCAACGCGAAGAACCUUACCUGGUCUUGACAUACAGAGAACUUUCCAGAGAUGGAUUGGUGCCUUCGGGAACUCUGAUACAGGUGCUGCAUGGCUGUCGUCAGCUCGUGUCGUGAGAUGUUGGGUUAAGUCCCGCAACGAGCGCAACCCUUUUCCUUAUUUGCCAGCGGGUUAAGCCGGGAACUUUAAGGAUACUGCCAGUGACAAACUGGAGGAAGGCGGGGACGACGUCAAGUCAUCAUGGCCCUUACGACCAGGGCUACACACGUGCUACAAUGGUCGGUACAAAGGGUUGCUACCUAGCGAUAGGAUGCUAAUCUCAAAAACGCCGAUCGUAGUCCGGAUUGGAGU